rnacentral:rRNA from 1 species
AUUGAACGCUGGCGGCAUGCCUUACACAUGCAAGUCGAACGGCAGCACGGGUGCUUGCACCUGGUGGCGAGUGGCGAACGGGUGAGUAAUACAUCGGAACAUGUCCUGUAGUGGGGGAUAGCCCGGCGAAAGCCGGAUUAAUACCGCAUACGAUCCACGGACGAAAGCGGGGGACCUUCGGGCCUCGCGCUAUAGGGUUGGCCGAUGGCUGAUUAGCUAGUGGGUGGGGUAAAGGCCUACCAAGGCGACGAUCGGUAGCUGGUCUGAGAGGACGACCAGCCACACUGGGACUGAGACACGGCCCAGACUCCUACGGGAGGCAGCAGUGGGGAAUGUUGGACAAUGGGCGAAAGCCUGAUCCAGCAAUGCCGCGUGUGUGAAGAAGGCCUUCGGGUUGUAAAGCACUUUUGUCCGGAAAGAACUCCUUGACUCUAAUACAGUCGGGGGAUGACGGUACCGGAAGAAUAAGCACCGGCUAACUACGUG